rnacentral:lncRNA from 1 species
GAGCUGGAAUUCACUUGCCUUUAAAACAUGAAACUUUUUUUUUGGUGGUGGUGGGGGUGCUGCUGGGGAUUUCACCUAGGGCCUUACAAGUGCUAGGUAAGCACUACUCUAGCACUGAAUGCUACAGCCCUAAAACAUGAUUUGUAUGAGACACUGCACCCCAAACCCAAGUAACACCAGAGGAAGAAGGGGGAGCUACUAACUCCGUUGUGAUAUUUUCCUGCUUGGCAAAUGUUUAUUGAACAUUUUCUGAGACUUAAGAUUUUGUUGGCUGCCCCUCCUUGUUCAUUGCAUGUAGUUUUCAGCUCACUGUUUUCACUGAAAAGCCAAGUGGAAAUGAUCUCAUGAGGUGUGGAUUGCAGGGGCCUCAUCUACCCUAACCCUGUUUUUCCUUGAUCCUUUGUGCUGUGCCCACCCCUGGGAAGGAAGCUUUAACAGGUGGCAAUAACAUGCUCACACAGGUGGUCUGGGCCCCCAAGCUUCUCUUACCUGAUGGUGCUUCCCAUCUAGCACUGGGUGGAUAUAAUCAAGACUUGGGAAGCAAGGAGGGUGUAUUUGUGAAAGGAGAGCUGAUCCAAUGUUGCUUCCUUUUCAACUUUUUAAAAAAAUAUAAAAUGAGCUAGGCAAGUCUGUAACCUCAGUUAUCCUGGAGGCAGAGACUGGAGGAUCACACGUUCAAGGCCAGCUGGGGCAACUUAAGCCAGACCCUGUCUCAAUAAAAAAUAAGGCUGGGUAUGUAGCUUGGUGGUAGAGCACCUAGGUUUAGUCUUUGUACCACAAAAGGAUAAAAUAUAAAAUGGUGGGUGAAUGUAAAAAAAGUUCAGAUAAUACAAGUUCAUAUUAAAGUAACGUGGGAAACCCCUCCUCACCUGCCAUUGUACACUAAUAACUCUGCCUGUCUUUGUGAGGGUCACCUAUAAUUCUUGCCAUGGAAAGUCUUUUCCUAAAACUUCUGAGCAUGGUUCUUCCCUGCUUAAGCCAUUCUACUUUCCAACAAAGUACAGUCUUGGCCUUUGAACUGCUCACUCUCAGCCUGUCAAGGUGUUGGAUGUUAAAAUCUUCAAAUCAGUGAAUGAUGGCUGUGGCAAGUUCCACAAUGAAAGCUGUAGGAUGUAGGAGAGGUGUCCUAGGAACUUGACAUAGUUUGGAGGCCAGGCAGGCAUCCCCAAGGAUUACAAAGAUGGACCUCAAACUAGUGCACAUCAAUGAGAGCCCUGUGCUUCCUAUGUGGAGUUUUUCAUCUAAUGUAUCCUAAAUGGUUUUUCCAUGGGGCAAUGAGUUCUGCGUACGCUCCAUUCUGGGAGGAGGUAUGCUAUCAAAACAUUCAUGCACAAUUUCAACCAUAUAAAAGAUAAUAAAAUGAACCCUCAUUAAUUGUUAUCAGGAA